GCAUAUCAAUAAGCGGAGGAAAAGAAACCAACAGGGAUUGCCUCAGUAACGGCGAGUGAAGCGGCAACAGCUCAAAUUUGAAAUCUGGCCUCUUCGGGGUCCGAGUUGUAAUUUGUAGAGGAUGUUUCGGGUACCGCCUCGGUUUAAAUUUCUUGGAACAGAAUGUCAGAGAGGGUGAGAAUCCCGUCUUGGACCGGCGGUAGGGCCCAUGUGAAACUCCUUCGACGAGUCGAGUUGUUUGGGAAUGCAGCUCAAAAUGGGUGGUAAAUUUCAUCUAAAGCUAAAUAUUGGCCAGAGACCGAUAGCGCACAAGUAGAGUGAUCGAAAGAUGAAAAGAACUUUGAAAAGAGAGUUAAACAGUAUGUGAAAUUGUUGAAAGGGAAGCGCUUACAACCAGACUUGAGCGCGGCGGUUCCCCCUUCCUUUUGGUUGGGUUACUCCGCCGUGUCCAGGCCAACAUCGGUUCUGGGGGUCGGUUAAAGGCCUGGGGAAUGUAUCUACUCCUUCGGGGGUAGACUUAUAGCCCCGGGUGUCAUGCGACCACCCGGGACCGAGGAACGCGCUUCGGCUCGGAUGUUGGCGUAAUGGUUGUCAGCGACCCGUCUUGAAACACGGACC
rnacentral:rRNA from 1 species